GAUGAAGAACGCAGUAAAAUGCGAUAAGUAGUGUGAAUUGCAGAAUUCAGUGAAUCAUCGAAUCUUUGAACGCACAUUGCGCCCUUUGGUAUUCCAAAGGGCAUGCCUGUUCGAGCGUCAUUUGUACCCUCAAGCUUUGCUUGGUGUUGGGCGUCUUGUCUCUAGCUUUGCUGGAGACUCGCCUUAAAGUAAUUGGCAGCCGGCCUACUGGUUUCGGAGCGCAGCACAAGUCGCACUCUCUAUCAGCAAAGGUCUAGCAUCCAUUAAGCCUUUUUUUCAACUUUUGACCUCGGAUCAGGUAGGGAUACCCGCUGAACUUAAGCAUAUCAAUAAGCGGAGGA
rnacentral:misc_RNA from 1 species